rnacentral:rRNA from 1 species
GAUGAACGCUGGCGGCGUGCUUAACACAUGCAAGUCGAACGAAGCAUUUAGGACAGAUUACUUCGGUUUGAAGUUCUUUAUGACUGAGUGGCGGACGGGUGAGUAACGCGUGGGUAACCUGCCUUGUACUGGGGGAUAGCAGCUGGAAACGGCUGGUAAUACCGCAUAAGCGCACAAUGUUGCAUGACAUGGUGUGAAAAACUCCGGUGGUAUAAGAUGGACCCGCGUCUGAUUAGCUAGUUGGUGAGAUAACAGCCCACCAAGGCGACGAUCAGUAGCCGACCUGAGAGGGUGACCGGCCACAUUGGGACUGAGACACGGCCCAGACUCCUACGGGAGGCAGCAUUGGGGAAUAUUGCACAAUGGAGGAAACUCUGAUGCAGCGACGCCGCGUGAGUGAAGAAGUAAUUCGUUAUGUAAAGCUCUAUCAGCAGGGAAGAUAGUGACGGUACCUGACUAAGAAGCGCCGGCUAAAUACGUG